rfam:Colinus virginianus strain Texas jcf7180006213664, whole genome shotgun sequence.
CGCCCGCCGGGGUUCCUGGUGAUGCGAUUUUUUACCCCAUGGCCCAAAAUCACAUUGCCAGGGAUUUCCAACGGGCG